UGGUAGCUCUGGACACCUGAUAUUGAAAAUCACUUGUACACUAAAUUUUGUAUUGUCUUUCGUAGCAGUUGAGGCUUGCAAUCGUUCUCAUAGUAAUAAUAGCAGUGCAUAGACGUAUAGUAACAGGCCUUUCGAAUAUUUUCCUAGACGAACCUUUCGGAAAUGACUAGUUCCAAUUGAUGUAAUCUAAUGCAUUUUAACUCAACUUCAUUCGCUGUCGCAGGAACUCCUGGAAACCAUAAAACUCCAACUAAAACGCUCAGGAUUCAGUUGGAGGAACAGCAAGAAGGGAAAUCAAUGGUAUGGAGUUAUACAAUAUGAGAGGCCACCAACAGCAAAAUGAGUUUUCUUUUUCUUCACUCUCAUGUGCUCCUGUUACAUUGAUUCAGGCAAAUGGAGUAUUUUGUGCCCUAACCUACCAAAUCGUAAUUAUUUCCUAGAAAAAGUAACGAAAAUUCGACAAUUCAAAUCCUUUUCAAGGUAUUGCUGAUUUUUUUGAGUAAUAACUAUACUAUUGAGAAGUUUGGGCAUGGUCUGUCUAUCAUUUAGUUCGUCGAGUUGUUUUGCGUUUUUAACAUUAGAUGAAUGUAUAAUAUAUAAAAACUAGUACGACAACUUUAUAUAUUUUUUUGCUUCUAAAUGAUAGUUUGUUCAUUUAAUCGGUUUUUCGUCAUAUACUUACUUCUCUGUGAACAUGUUUGUGAACUCGUUACUCAUCUCCUGAUCUUACCUCAAUACAAAUAUCAAACAUUUGAUUUCUCAUUUAAAGUUAAUGAUUUUUCUUAAUCUUUAAUGCUUACAUACAUUAUCUUCCAACAGGUGUACAUACCAGGCCAUAAAAAAAGUUAUUUAAAAAUAAAGCUUUCAAUUCUUUUUUCAAGAACUUUCACAUUCGAAAAUAUGUAGUAUUCAUUUCGAUUAUUCAUAAAUCAUAACUUAAUUUAAAUUCCAAGCGAAGAUACUUCAAUUAGUUCAAUUCUUGUAAAUCGUUUUCUUUGCAAUUUAAUCAAUUCUUGAUGAAGCCACUAAGAUAAUGAAACAAUUGCCGAAUAAAAAUCUA